GGGUGAUCCUGCCCGUAUUCAUAUGCUUGUCUCACAGAUUAUACC
rnacentral:rRNA from 1 species